rnacentral:pre_miRNA from 1 species
CAUGUACUCCCUCCGAUCCAUAUUACUUGUCGCUGAAAUGAAUGUAUCUAGACGUAUUUCAGUGCUAGAUACGUCUAUUUAAGUGGCAAGUAAUAUGGAUUGAAGGGAGUAACAA